rnacentral:misc_RNA from 1 species
GAGGUCUCUGUGGAUGAU